GUAAAGGGGCAAAAUAUCAUGAAGGCACUAGAUCCCAUCUGAUCUUGGAAACUAAGCAGUCAGGCUUAGUUAGCAUUUGGAUGGGAAACUGGCAAGGAAUACCAGGUGUUGUUAGCU
rnacentral:rRNA from 1 species